CACCAUGCCCAGCUAAUUUUUGUAUUUUUAGUAGAGAUGGGGUUUCACCAUGUUAGCCAGGCUGGUCUCAAACUCCUGACCUGGUGAUCCACCCACCUUGGCCUCCCAAAGUGCUGGGAUUACAGGCGUGAGCCACCGUGCCCAGCCUUCAGUGCUGUUUAAAUAGCUCUUCUAGUGUGGGCUUCAACUGAGAACAUCCCUGUUUUCAUCCUCAAGGUUGUUUUUCUGCUCAGUGUUCUUGUUGACCACGUCUGGGCUGCUGCAGGACAAUGAUUGAAGUUUUAGUAGUGAAAGAGUUCAACAGUGUUGACAUUGAAACUGGAAAAUCAUUUUACUAAUGUAAGAUGAUGCUUUACUAUAUUGAAAUCUUAGACAAAUAGAUGACCCAUAGCCCAAAUACAGGUAGGAUUUAUCUUUUGUAAUAAGCCGAGUCUCUUUUUCCUUUAGAUGUAUAUGCAAAAGAGAAGAUGGAUGAAAACUAACGUUUCGCAAGUGAUAUGGGCUUAAUAUAGCACAAAACAAGAAGAAUUGGUGCUGAGUAUCACAUAAUUUUCAUUGCAGUUUACUUCCUAGCACUUAAUCUAGUCAAAAUAUUUUUCUUCACAACAUUGCUACUUUCCGAAUAACUCAGAUGCUUAACUAUAUUCUGCCAUCUAAAUUUAUAUCUGCAAUAAGGCAUGGAGUGUGUGCAUCAAAUUUUAGGCAAAUGAAAAAGAACUCGCCCCAGGAUACUCUUAUGGAUGUGACAAUUUAAGAAGCUACACAUCAUCUGAAACUAUUCUGUUUUCUUUGCCAGGGUUCAGCGGAUUCCUACACAAGCAGGCCGUCUGACUCCGAUGUCUCUUUGGAAGAGGACCGGGAAGCAAUUCGACAGGAGAGAGAACAGCAAGCAGCUAUCCAGCUUGAGAGAGCAAAGGUGAGUCUCUUUCCUUCUCUUUGGCUCAAAAGUGGGUCGUUGCUCAGUGGCUACCAGCUGCUCUUCCCUUACCUCACAUUUCUGGAAUAAUCAUUUUGUGAUUAUUCUAACAAGGCUCCAGAUUGGGAAGCUCUCUGAUCCUUUCACCUCUAAGUGAGGUUAGUAACAUCUCCAAAGAGGCAUUUCCUCAGAACCUUCACCUUUUUGUAUUUGGUUUGGUGGUGAAUUAUUGGUCGUCUUCCAACUUAGCAAUAUCAA
rnacentral:sRNA from 1 species